rnacentral:lncRNA from 1 species
AGUACAUAAACGCCUACGUCAGAAUCUGGAGUCAGCUGGAGUGUGCCAGCAGCUCUAUGAGUUUGGAUAAACUCAUUCAGCCAUCUAACUCACACCUCAACUGAGAUACAGAGCAAUUUCAUCACACUCCAGAAUUCCCUCAUAUCCUUUUGUAACCAAGUCCUCCCUCCACCCCUUGGUGAUAACUGACCUGUUUUUGUUCCUUCAGUUUUGCCUUUUCCAGAAUGUCAUAUGAAUGGAAUCAUUCAGAAUGCAGCUUUUAAAGAACUGGUGCCUUUCAAUUAACAUAGCAUCUUUGAGAUUCAUCUAAACUGCUGUGUGUAUUAUAAUUUGUUCCUUUUAUUGCUGAUCAGUGUUUCACUGUACGGAUGUGCUGCAGUUGGUUUAUCCAUUCAUAGCUGACCAAUAUUUGGGUUGUUCCUAGUUUUUGAAGAUUGUGAAUAAAGUUGCUAUAUGUAUUCAUAUGUAGGUUUUUGUGUGGACAUAUAUUUUCACUUGACUUGGAUAAAUACCUAGGAGUGGAAUUUCUGGGUUGUAUGGUAAGUGUAUAUUUAACUUUAUAAGAAACUGCUUAUUGCUUCUCAGCCGUUUGGUGAAGAUCAAGUGUGAAGAAACCACUCAACUGUUUUCCAAAGCAGAUGUUCCAUUUUGCAUUCCCACCAGCAGUGUAUGACAGUCUUAGUUGCUCCAUAUCCUUGCCAGACUUAGUAUUAAAAAAAAAAAAAAAAAAAAAAAAACCAGCUGGGCGCCGUGGCUCAUGCCUGUAAUCCCAACACUUUGGGAGGCCGAGGCCAGUGGAUCACGAGGGCAGGAGAUCAAGACCAUCCUGGCCAAUAUGGUGAAACCCCGUCUCUACUAAAAAUACAAAAAUAAGCCGGGCAUGGCGGCGUGUGCCUGUAGUCCCAGCUACUCGGGAGGCUGAGGCAGGAGAAUUG